CACGCCGUAAACGGUGGGCGCUAGGUGUGGGUUUCCUUCCACGGGAUCCGUGCCGUAGCUAACGCAUUAAGCGCCCCGCCUGGGGAGUACGGCCGCAAGGCUAAAACUCAAAGGAAUUGACGGGGGCCCGCACAAGCGGCGGAGCAUGUGGAUUAAUUCGAUGCAACGCGAAGAACCUUACCUGGGUUUGACAUACACCGGACGCUGGUAGAGAUAUCAGUUCCCUUGUGGUCGGUGUACAGGUGG
rnacentral:rRNA from 1 species